CUGAAUCCUCCAUGUGACCGCUGCUCUGGGGCCUGCCGUCGACUCGGGUAUUUAAAGCGGCAACAGACAAGGUCAGCGCGGGCCCUGCUGCCGACGCUUCUGAAGAUGCAGCGAACAAACGUUGCUGAAAAGCUCAAGAUUCUGAAAAAAUAUCUAUGUCUAUCCCAUCCCCAGAGCUCGGACCACAGUUUCCACGGCAGCGAUUGAAGCCGCCCGAUGAUUCGGUGAAAUGCGCCUGCUGUUCGGGGAGGGGCAGAAAGCCUUCGGAAUUGGUUUUUGGUUGGGCCACCGCUCUGCUGCUCUGCUGGAUGCUGAGAAGAUCCUGAAAUGUGCCCUUGCUGUGAAGGAGACGUCAAGCUCUAAGCGAAUCUAAAAAUAAACCGCUGUGUAUUGAUUAACGGAGCUGGAGCAGGCAGUGAUGAAUUAGCGAUAAGGAAAUGAGCCCAAGCCAAUCUCUGGAGCAUUUUUUUUUUCUGAACUGAACUGCAGGAAAACCAGGCCAGGCCUCAGAGCAGCCGGGGACCCUGCUUUCAGGGGACUGGGAGUUAAUCAUUGAUCAGUAAUGGGCUGGUUGAGGGGGUAAAGGGAGGGAAAAAAUGAGGGAGGGAGACACAUUCUGUGCUAAAACAACCUAAUUUGUAAACAUUAUUUUCUCAGAUGGGCAGAAAGACUGAUUAAAUCCCACCUUCAGGAUGAAAGGA